rnacentral:rRNA from 1 species
AUUCCAGCUCCAAUAGCGUAUAUUAAAGUUGUUGCAGUUAAAACGCUCGUAGUCGGAUUUCGGGGCGGGCCGACCGGUCUGCCGAUGGGUAUGCACUGGCCGGCGCGUCCUUCCACCCGGAGACCGCGCCUACUCUUAACUGAGCGGGCGCGGGAGACGGGUCUUUUACUUUGAAAAAAUCAGAGUGUUUCAAGCAGGCAGUCGCUCUUGCAUGGAUUAGCAUGGGAUAAUGAAAUAGGACUCUGGUGCUAUCUUGUUGGUUUCGAACACCGGAGUAAUGAUUAAAAGGAACAGGUGGAGAUAUUCGUAUUUAGGAGCUAGAGGUGAAAUUCUUGGAUUUCCGAAAGACGAACUACUGCGAAGGCAUUUAUCAAAAAUGUUUUCAUCG